CAUGGAGGGUGAGAAUCCCGUUCAUGGUUAAUUCUAAGAUGCUUUAUGAUGCGUUUUCGAAGAGUCGAGUUGUUUGGGAUUGCAGCUCAAAAUGGGAGGUAAAUUUCUCCUAAGGCUAAAUAUUGGCGAGAGACCGAUAGCGAACAAGUACCGUGAGGGAAAGAUGAAAAGAACUUUGAAAAGAGAGUUAAACAGUACGUGAAAUUGUUGAAAGGGAAACGAUUGAAGUCAGUCGUACCAGCGGGAAAUCAACCUUUCGAGUGGGGUUUUGGAGUUUUGAAGUGUGUCAAAACCUUGAAGAUUUCAAAAUUUUCGCUCUUUUGGUGUACUUUCUCGCAGGUAGGUUAACAUCGAUUUUGAUCAUCAUAAAAGGAUUGGAGGAAUGUAGCUUCGAUCUCGUAUUGAAGUGUUAUAGCCUUUGGUAAAUGUGAUGAUUAGGAUCGAGGAUUGCAACGAAUACCCUUUUAGGCUAUCCGCCUGAUCUCUGAUACGUGGCCUUGGUAUUGAAAGCGUGCUUAUGAUAUUAAGGUAUUACGGUCAAAAGGUUAGAACGGAUUACAUUCGUUAAGGAUGUUGACGUAAUGG
rnacentral:rRNA from 1 species